ACUCUGUUCUGCCUCACACACACACACACACACACACACACACACGAUAUACACUUCUGUCUCAGACAUUACCAAACCUCACCCCCACUCACCACCAGCGCUCGCCACCGUCGCACUUCGCCACCGCCACUUGCAAAUCACCACCGCCAGAUAAUCACAACAAAUGGAGAUGAGCUUAUGCGACCAAUGGGUAGAAGAGGCACUUUCCAAGUUGGAAUCUCUGAAACUCCUCCGUUCUCUUAGACCCAUGCACCGACCCAUCAAUGAACAAUCGAAACCCAUCGAUACCCAGGUGAAGAAUGCUUCAAACUACGAUGAAUUCGAGGUGUUCGACAAUUUGCGGCAAUAGGAUAGGACAUCUGUUGAAGUAGUGAUUGCUGAUAGCACAUUUCAGAGAUGGGUUCGUGAGGUAGAAGUUGUGGAGAUGAUGCUGACUGUGGCAACCAAGAAGCUGAAAUAGGGGCCUGCCCUCAAAAGUUUAGAAAGCUACUUUUAUUUUCUGGAAAUGAUUACUUGGGCUUGAGUUCACAUCCUACAGUUUCAAAAGCUGCUGCAAAGAUCAAUUUUGGCAAGGAAUUGUAGAUAUUCCUUUUUUGUCUAAGGAGGACGUGGUUUUUGUACUACUUUUUAUUCUGUAUGAAAUUAUUAUUUUCAGUUGGAAUAUACUUAGUUUGUAUAAAAUUUGACAUAAAAAGUUAUUCUCUGUUUUGGAUGGUUGUAAGUGAAAUACGUGUU